rnacentral:misc_RNA from 1 species
GGGAAACACUGCCGCAGGGUGUCCGAAUAGCGAGGUCGCUGCUACCAGGUUGCUGGAGGUCGUUGGCUGGUCUUCAGCCGUCGCUGGUUCACGCUGCAGGAGUUGAAGUUGUCUGGGUUUCGUCUGCAAGUCGCUCGUCGAUCUCAGCUUGUUGUCGCGCGCAAGGAGAAGACGCCGGAGCACCUUGUGCGUUCGCCGGAGAAGAAGAUGAAGAGGUCCAAGGUAAGAACGGUGAAGGAGAAGAGAGACGAUCGCGGCUGAAUCAAACACGCAUAAGCGGGAGAGAGAGAGAUCGAGA